rnacentral:rRNA from 1 species
GUGCCAGCAGCCGCGGUAAUACAGAGAGAGCGAGCGUUAAUCGGAUUUACUGGGCGUAAAGCGCGCGUAGGUGGCUAAUUAAGUCAAAUGUGAAAUCCCCGAGCUUAACUUGGGAAUUGCAUUCGAUACUGGUUAGCUAGAGUAUGGGAGAGGAUGGUAGAAUUCCAGGUGUAGCGGUGAAAUGCGUAGAGAUCUGGAGGAAUACCGAUGGCGAAGGCAGCCAUCUGGCCUAAUACUGACACUGAGGUGCGAAAGCAUGGGGAGCAAACAGGAUUAGAUACCCUGGUAGUCCAUGCCGUAAACGAUGUCUACUAGCCGUUGGGGCCUUUGAGGCUUUAGUGGCGCAGCUAACGCGAUAAGUAGACCGCCUGGGGAGUACGGUCGCAAGACUAAAACUCAAAUGAAUUGACGGGGGCCCGCACAAGCGGUGGAGCAUGUGGUUUAAUUCGAUGCAACGCGAAGAACCUUACCUGGCCUUGACAUACAGAGAACUUUCCAGAGAUGGAUUGGUGCCUUCGGGAACUCUGAUACAGGUGCUGCAUGGCUGUCGUCAGCUCGUGUCGUGAGAUGUUGGGUUAAGUCCCGCAACGAGCGCAACCCUUUUCCUUACUUGCCAGCAUUUCGGAUGGGAACUUUAAGGAUACUGCCAGUGACAAACUGGAGGAAGGCGGGGAUGACGUCAAGUCAUCAUGGCCCUUAC